GCCUUAGCUCAAUUGGCAGAGCAAUCGCCUUGUAAGCGAUAGGUUGCUGGUUCGAUUCCGGCAGGCG
rnacentral:tRNA from 1 species